rnacentral:rRNA from 1 species
AGAGCACGUNUGGAUUCCUAGGNCUCACCNUGGGCUCCGUAANUCUCUUACAAGUUUGAUCAUGGCUCAGAGCGAACGCUGGCGGCAGGCCUAACACAUGCAAGUCGAGCGGCCAGUAAGCAAUACGGCAGCGGCAGACCGGGACGACGUAACACGUAGGGACACGCGCCCUUACGAGUAUACGAGAAUAACCCAAGGGAAAACUAUAGGGGCUAAAUAACCGGAUAAACGCCCUAUAACAGAGAGGACACACGAUUUACUNUAUAGGCCGAAUUGAGAAUCGAGGCUCCAG